rnacentral:rRNA from 1 species
UACGUAGGGGGCUAGCGUUGUCCGGAAUCAUUGGGUGUAAAGAGCGUGUAGGCGGCCCGGUAAGUCCGCUGUAAAAGUCAAAGGCUCAACCUUUGAAUGUCAGUGGAUACUGCCGGGCUAGAGUCCGGAAGAGGCGAGUGGAACUCCUGGUGUAGCGGUGGAAUGCGCAGAUAUCAGGAAGAACACCAACGGCGAAGGCAGCUCGCUGGGACGGUACUGACGCUGAGGAGCGAAAGCCAGGGGAGCAAACGGG